rnacentral:rRNA from 1 species
GUGGGGAAUAUUGCACAAUGGGCGCAAGCCUGAUGCAGCAACGCCGCGUGGGGGAUGACGGCCUUCGGGUUGUAAACCUCUUUUAGUAGGGAAGAAGCGAAAGUGACGGUACCUGCAGAAAAAGCACCGGCUAACUACGUGCCAGCAGCCGCGGUAAUACGUAGGGUGCAAGCGUUGUCCGGAAUUAUUGGGCGUAAAGAGCUCGUAGGCGGUUUGUCGCGUCUGCUGUGAAAUCCCGAGGCUCAACCUCGGGCCUGCAGUGGGUACGGGCAGACUAGAGUGCGGUAGGGGAGAUUGGAAUUCCUGGUGUAGCGGUGGAAUGCGCAGAUAUCAGGAGGAACACCGAUGGCGAAGGCAGAUCUCUGGGCCGCUACUGACGCUGAGGAGCGAAAGCAUGGGGAGCGAACAGGAUUAGAAACCCGGGUAGUCC